ensembl:rRNA 5S_rRNA 5S ribosomal RNA
GUCUACAGCCAUACCACCCUGAAUGUGUGAGAUCUCCUCUGAUCUCGUGAAGCUAAGCAGGGUCGGGCCUUGUUAAUACUUGGAUGGGAGACCACCUGCGAAUACUGGGUGCUGUAGAAU